GAUGAACGCUGGCGGCGUGCCUAAUACAUGCAAGUCGAGCGAACGGACGAGAAGCUUGCUUCUCUGAUGUUAGCGGCGGACGGGUGAGUAACACGUGGAUAACCUACCUAUAAGACUGGGAUAACUUCGGGAAACCGGAGCUAAUACCGGAUAAUAUUUUGAACCGCAUGGUUCAAAAGUGAAAGACGGUCUUGCUGUCACUUAUAGAUGGAUCCGCGCUGCAUUAGCUAGUUGGUAAGGUAACGGCUUACCAAGGCAACGAUGCAUAGCCGACCUGAGAGGGUGAUCGGCCACACGGGAACUGAGACACGGUCCAGACUCCUACGGGAGGCAGCAGUAGGGAAUCUUCCGCAAUGGGCGAAAGCCUGACGGAGCAACGCCGCGUGAGUGAUGAAGGUCUUCGGAUCGUAAAACCCUGUUAUUAGGGAAGAACAUAUGUGUAAGUAACUGUGCACAUCUUGACGGUACCUAAUCAGAAAGCCACGGCUAACUACGUG
rnacentral:rRNA from 1 species